UACGAAGGGGGCUAGCGUUGCUCGGAAUCACUGGGCGUAAAGGGUGCGUAGGCGGGUCUUUAAGUCAGGGGUGAAAUCCUGGAGCUCAACUCCAGAACUGCCUUUGAUACUGAGGAUCUUGAGUUCGGGAGAGGUGAGUGGAACUGCGAGUGUAGAGGUGAAAUUCGUAGAUAUUCGCAAGAACACCAGUGGCGAAGGCGGCUCACUGGCCGGUACUGACGCUGAGGUGCGAAAGCGUGGGGAGCAAACAGG
rnacentral:rRNA from 1 species